CCUACGGGAGGCAGCAGUGAGGAAUAUUGGUCAAUGGACGAGAGUCUGAACCAGCCAAGUAGCGUGAAGGAUGACUGCCCUAUGGGUUGUAAACUUCUUUUAUAUGGGAAUAAAAUGUUCCACGUGUGGGAUUUUGUAUGUACCAUAUGAAUAAGGAUCGGCUAACUCCGUGCCAGCAGCCGCGGUAAUACGGAGGAUCCGUGCGUUAUCCGGAUUUAUUGGGUUUAACGGGAGCGUAGGUGGAUUGUUAAGUCAGUUGUGAAAGUUUGCGGCUCAACCGUAAAAUUGCAGUUGAAACUGGCAGUCGUGAGUACAGUAGAGGUAGGCGGAAUUCGUGGUGUAGCGGUGAAAUGCUUAGAUAUCACGAAGAACUCCGAUUGCGAAGGCAGCUCACUGGACUGCAACUGACACUGAGGCUCGAAAGUGUGGGUAUCAAACAGGAUUAGAUACCCUAGUAGUC
rnacentral:rRNA from 1 species